rnacentral:rRNA from 1 species
GACGAACGCUGGCGGCGUGCUUAACACAUGCAAGUCGAACGGAAAGGUCCGGCGCUUGUGGGGUGCUCGAGAGGCGAACGGGUGAGUAACACGCGAGUAAACUGCCCUUGACUGUGGGAUAAAAUCAGGAAACUGGGGCUAAUACCGGAUAGGAGCUCCUGCUGCAUGGUGGGGGAUGGUAAGUUUCGGCGGUGGGGGAUGGUCUCGCGGGUUAUCAGCUUGAUGGGGGGGUAGUGGAUUACCAAGGCUUUGACGGGUACGAGGCCUGAGAGGGUGACCGGCCACAUUGGGACUGAGAUGCGGCACAGACUCGUACGCGAGGCAGCAGUGGGGAAUAUUGCACAAUGGGCGGAAGCCUGAUGCAGCAACGCCGCGUGCGGGAUGACGGCCUUCGGGUUGUAAACCGCUUUCGCCUGUGACGAAGCGUGAGUGACGGUAAUGGGUAAAGAAGCACCGGCUAACUACGUG